rnacentral:lncRNA from 1 species
CUCAAUUUACAAUUACUUGUUAUAAGUUUAUGUGUAUCGUGAAAGCAACUUGCUCUACUUAAAAGUUCGGUAGACUGUACUAACAUUGUGUGACUUCAGCCAGCAGGGAAAAAAAAGAAAUUAAAUUUGAUGUGAACCAAGUAAAAGAAGAAUAACUUUAGACAGGGUAAGAAGUAUUUUGAAUUCCGACCCUCUUCUCCACAACUCCAGCGUGAGUCAACAGCGCCCAGAGGUGCGUGAUGAGCUCGCC